GCGGCCAUAGCUCAGCUGGAUAGAGCACAGGUCUACGAAACCUGGGGUCGGAAGUUCGAAUCUUCCUGGCCGCA
rnacentral:tRNA from 1 species